rfam:Rhodnius prolixus Rhodnius_prolixus-3.0.3-6685.1, whole genome shotgun sequence.
UAAUAGUUUAGAUCUUUAAAUUAAAAGAAUUUGGCGGUAAUUUAGUCUUUUCAGAGGAACCUGCCCUGUAAUUGAUAGUCCACGAUAAAUUUUACUUUAUCUUUGUUUGUAUACCUCUGUCAUUGAAUGUUUUAUUAGGAUGGAUUUUCUUUAAUUUUUAUGAAUUUAAUGUCAGGUCAAGGUGCAGCUGUGAUAAAGAAGAGGUGGGUUACAUUGAAUUUAUUUAUGGAGAUAAAUAUGUAAAUUUUAUUGAAAUAGGAUUUGAAAGUAAGUUUUAUUAGAAUAUAGAAUUGAUUUUAGCUCUAAAUUAUGCACACAUCGCCCGUCACUCUCAUUUAAUUAAAGGUGAGAUAAGUCGUAACAAAGUAGGUUUAUCGGAAGAUGAGCCUG